UACGGAGGGUGCGAGCGUUGUCCGGAAUCACUGGGCGUAAAGGGCGCGUAGGCGGCUCAUGAAGGCUGUGGUGAAAGUCCGGGGCUCAACCUCGGAUCGGCCGUGGCGACUCGUGGGCUGGAGCACUGUAGAGGCGGGUGGAAUUCCGGGUGUAGCGGUGGAAUGCGUAGAGAUCCGGAAGAACACCAGUGGCGAAGGCGGCUCGCUGGGCCAGUUCUGACACUCAUCCGCGAAAGCGUGGGGAGCAAACAGG
rnacentral:rRNA from 1 species